GGCUCGAUGGUGGACGGCCCGCGCCUGCGCUGGAUAGUAACCAAUAUCCCACCGUGUAUCGCAGGAGGCGCCCGUUCGACUCGGGCUCGAGCCA